AAAUAAUUUAAUGUUAUCUGAAAUUAAUAAAAUCAAGCAGGCAUUCAUUAAUGUUAAUAAAAUACUAUCCAUAAUAUGUGGUGUGUAAAAGGAGUUGAAAUCUCACAUGAACUUUAAAACACACACACACACACACACACACACACACACACACACACACACACACACACACACACACACACACACACAAAUGCAUAUGUUGAUAUUUGAAAUAGGUGAUACUAUUUUCUAUAUAAAAAUAGUCUCCAUUCAUUUCUUAAAAAAUACAGAGUGGUUUUAUGUUAGGUUGUUGAUAUUUCACACAGGCGUUGUUUCCUUUGAGGCUGCAGCGGCUACACGUGACACACCCCUUUUUCGUGACUGUUUUUCGUGUGUACAAAAGCUAACGCCACAGAACCUGAAGCUUUCUUCAGCAGCUAAACAGUUUUUUGCUACCGCUUAAAGUAGGACAAAAUUUUUAAAAUGGAAAAAUGUCUGGCUCUCCUAACGAACACCGGUUAUGAGACGAUUGUGAACGAAAUCAUAGCACUGAACGUGGGCGCGCAACCUCCACAACCUAACGUUGCGGUCGAGGUGCCCGGGAUUAGGCCUGACAUCACCCCAGCACCCGCGAGCGCUCAGUCGAUAAGUACAGCGAGGGAGCGAGCCGUGAGAGAUACGCUAACUGAAAACAGGGGAUCGCUCUCUUGUUUAAGAUGACUUGUUAACCGAUACCAGACCAUUACAACUGCUGAUCGACAUGAACAGCAAACAGUGCUAGACACGGGCCAUCGUUAGGAAGAAGAGUGGAUGUGACUGCUCAGAUCCAUGCACCGCCGCAAAUAUCUACUAAUUCUGCACCUAUUGGUGUUAGAAGAUCACGCCAGGAAGACCAGAAUGUGACUGCUCUGCCGGUUCAGGCCAAUGGACAAAAGACUGCAAACCCCUGUGAGAUCAGUGUGAUACCUAACACCCCUGAGCAAAAACGUCCAAGACAAUCAACUCAAUCAGAAGACACGGAGUUCUGGAACGAACAUUUUGCUCAAGCAUGGGAUGGACGUGAUAUGAACGCCCCAUCUAAUGUGGAUCAAGAGAAGAAUUUAAAUCAACCCACAGACACUGUUGAAAACGUCGCAGAUUCAGAUGAUGAUGCAGACAAGCUUCCUUCAAACCAGGAGUAAUACAAGAACCAACAGCAGAACGACACAAACAAAGACAUUUUGAACACUAUUGCCAAGAGCCCAGAAAGAAUUAUAAAGGACCAAGCACGUUUUAAUCAGACUUUUGCCAAGAACCAACAACAGAACGACACAAACAAAGACAUUUUGAACACUAUUGCCAAGAGCCAACAGCAGAACGACGCAAACAAAGACAUUUUGAACACUAUUGUCAAGAACCAAAAAAGAAUUAUAGAGGACCAGCAGAAACACUGGAUCAUCCUUAAACAAAUUAUUGCGUUACUAAAACGUCAUGAUGGCGGACAUGCUCAGACGGCCUGUGAUCAGGAAAUGACUCUAACGCUGUUAACUGAACUGCUGGGGCUUUUUAAAUAACUGUAUUGGUGAGUCCUAUUUUCUUUACCCAGUUUUUUUUUUCCUAAGUGUGUAUUGUUUUUGUCACAAGUGUGCAUAGAUGUGGUUUUAUGAUUAGAUUUUUUCCUUCUUCUACGUUUAGUUGUGUGGGGUGUAUUUUGUAAAUAUUUUUUUAAAUAAAUUAGAGUUAGAAAUGGCUGCGAAACGUUGUCGGGAGUCAUGUGAUGGUGAACAAGAUCCUCCGUUAAGGAGCAAUAGGGAUGAUAAUUUCCGAAAUCAACAAAACACUACAGAAAAGCUACUCAGGCUCAUACAGACUGUUGAUGAGAUGAAAAAACACAAGUCAUCUAAAUUGUUAAAAUUAAUAAACGUGGUACGAUCAAGGGCAGAGCCUCCUCCAGAACCGGCUUUUGAUUUUGAACAGUUUGUAAAUUCUCAACAGCUAGGUGAGGUGUCAGAACCAGUUUUUGAUUUUGAACAGUUUGUAAAUUCUCAACAGCUAGGUGCGGUGUCAGAACCAGUUUUUGAUUUUGAACAGUUUGUAAAUUCUCAACAGCCAGGUGAGGUGUCAGAACCAUGACCAUACCCAAUUUUUGAACAGUUUGUAAAUUAUCCACAGACAGGUGAGGGAGUAGGUACCCGGCCACACCACACGCUUGACCUAACAGACCCCUGCAUGGGUCUCACACAAGCUGAAAUAGAAACACUUGUAAGAGAGGGUGGUGAUGUGGCUGGAUACACAGAAGUACCACGAGGUCGAUUCAAUGGUUUGGAAAUCCACAGGCUUAUAAAUCUAAGGGAAAUAUCUUCUACAGAUCUAUCAGACUACACUGUGUUUUUACAUGACAAGUUUUCUGCAAUAGUGGCGUUUUCCAGAUUAUUAGGUGGAGAUGGUAGUUUAAUUAACAUCACUUUGAGCAGUCCUAGCUUGACAUCUGAUGUUAAUACACUCUUGUCAGCUAGCAAUGAUUACAAUGUCGAUCUCUUCAUCAGUAAUCUUGAAAAAAUGUACAGUUUGAUGAGUGUUUAAAUUUAAAAGUGUCUAUAGCAAGAAGUAAACAAGGAGGCGCUUGACGAAAAUUAAGGGAUCUAGCCCACGAUCAAGCGAUUAGUAAGAACAGACUUAAUUUGUUCAUCCCCUCAAACAUUGCUGGGGAAAACAAUCUUUGUUUUGCAAUCUGCUUAGCACACUUUCUUAACCCUCAGAAACCACACACAGACCUAGAGUCCAUAGCGUCAGCAUUGCAGGAGUCUGUAGGAUACACUGAUCAACAUAUGAUAUCACUUAAUGAUAUUGCUCAGUUUGAACGUAUGUUGAAUAUUAAAAUAGUGGUCUUCUAUAGAACGAAUACAGGAAUGUUGAAGAAAUAUGCAAACACAGAUGUACAGUACCACAUCCUAAAACAGUGUUUUUGUACCUCCACGACAAUCAUUAUUUUAUGAUUAAAAAUGUGAAGGGAUUCAUUGGCACACCAUACUUGUGUGAGUAUUGUUAUCAAGGGUUUACUGCACAGCGAGAUCACAGAUGCCGAUACACCUGCGAUGUCUGCAACGCUUCUGAAUGUCAUCUUUACCCCCAAAAAACAAAACACUGCGGUGACUGUUUGAGGUACUGUAGGUCAGACUAUUGUUUUCAGAUGCAUAAAAAGCCACCUCCAGGUCAGAAAUUUGCACAGUGCGACGUUACCAAAUAUUGUGGUAAAUGUAAUAGACGUUAUCAUGUCAGCGGCACCAACCCCAGGCCACACAAAUGUCCUGCAGAUUGUUGUGUUCACUGUAGUGAGGGUUUGGUUAACGACGGUGUGCAUCAGUGUUUUAUUCAGCCGGUUAAGUUGAAGGAGCCAAAUAAUCGCUAAAUUUUUUUUGAUUUCGAAACUCAUUAUGAAAAUAACAGCCAUUUUCCGAUUUUUGUAUACGCGAUCACGUUUGAGGGAGAAUAAUUUUUGGCCGAAGGUUCUGAUUGUGUUCAGACGGCCUUGUUAUAAUAAUUACACAUGGAUUGCACAUAAUGCAUCCGGAUUUGAUAAUUUCAUUCUUUUGGAAUACUUCACUAAGAUGGGGAUACCUCCUAAAAUUAUGUAUGAUGAGGCAUUCAAACAGAGAUUUAUCGAUAGUUACAGUUUUAUACCCAUGCGUCUAGCCAACACACCUGCUGCUUUUAAUCUGGCCAACUCUGUGAAGGGUUAUUUCCCACAUAACACCGUGUUGAAAAUGAUUCGUAUGUUCUACCAUACCCAGCCAAAGAGUUUUAUGGAUAUACGACUAUGUCAAACAAAGACAGAACAGAGUUUGAUGCGUGGUAUAGUACUAUCUCUGACCAAGUGUUUGAUUUUAAAAAAGAACUAGCAAUUUAUGGAAAAAAUGACGUCGUCCUGCUUAGGGAUGUGUGUAUGAAGUACCGUGAUGAAUUCAUUCUGUGUACAGGUCUGGACCCAUGUAAUUACACCACUCUGGAGUCCACCUGCAUGGCUAUCUAUAAAACACACUACCUCCCAAAAGACACAAUAGCACUGACACACAACAGCGCAUAUAUCAAUCAGAACAAAACAUACUCGAACGUAUCAAUUGAAUGGCUUGAAUAUAUCAGCAAAUCACGUUCAGUAGUUGUUCAACACGCGCUAAAUCACGGUGAGGUGUCAUUCGGCAAGUAUUAUGUAGAUGGUUUUUAUAUCGAUGGCACAAAUAAAAAAGCAUUAGAGUUUGCAGGGUGUUUUUUUCACGGUUGUGAACGAUGUUAUAACCCCAAUGAUUUAAAUCCGUUAUUGAGGGUACCUUACGGUCUUCUCAAAAGACAGUUUGAUGACAAGAUUGAAAUUUUACAGAAUCCAUACAAUCUUCAUAUUGAGAUUCAGUGGGAAUGUAGCUGGACCCAUGCUUAACAAUCUGAUGCUGACGUGAUUGCGUUCAUUUCCACCUAUAAACAUCCUGAGAGAUUGAAACCCCGCGAAACUUUGUAUGGUGGUAGAACGAAUUCAUUCAAGUUGUAUCACAAGGCAGCAGAAGGCGAGGUCAUACGGUAUGUGGAUUUCACAAGUCUCUAUCCAUUUUGUCAGGCCACAAAGUGUUUCCCGAUAGGACACCCCCAAAUAAUUUUCAAAGAUUUUGAUAAUCUUGAAAAUUAUUUUGCCUGGUUAAGGCUACGGUACUACCACCUCGAAAGCUGCCCUUACAACUGCCCAUG
ensembl:lncRNA